rnacentral:misc_RNA from 1 species
GAUGAAGAACGUAGCGAAAUGCGAUAACUAAUGUGAAUUGCAGAAUUCCGUGAAUCAUCGAGUCUUUGAACGCACAUUGCGCCCCCUGGUAUUCCGGGGGGCAUGCCUGUCCGAGCGUCAUUACAACCCUCAAGCCCGGCUUGUGUAAUGGGCGGCCGUCUCUCCCCCCGGGGGGAGACGCCCCCGAAACUCAGUGGGGAUGUCGCGAUACCGAAGCCUCAGCUAAUGGGUAAACCACAGCUGCAAUGGCCGCGGCCGGCGUCCGCCUUCCACGGUCCGUCCGCCUAGCGCGGGCGGCCUUCUCAAGGUUGACCUCGGAUCAGGUAGGGAUACCCGCUGAACUUAAGCAUAUCAAUAAGCGGAGA